CUACGGGGCGCAGCAGUGAGGAAUAUUGCACAAUGGGGGGAACCCUGAUGCAGCAACGCCGCGUGGAGGAUGACGCAUUUCGGUGUGUAAACUCCUUUUAUAUGUCAAGAAAAUGACGGUAGCAUAUGAAUAAGCACCGGCUAACUCCGUGCCAGCAGCCGCGGUAAUACGGAGGGUGCAAGCGUUACUCGGAAUCACUGGGCGGAAAGGACGCGUAGGCGGGUUGGAAAGUCAGGUGUGAAAGCCUACAGCUUAACUGUAGAACUGCACUUGAAACUUCUAAUCUAGAGUAUGGGAGGGGGAGAUGGAAUUAGUGGUGUAGGGGUAAAAUCCGUAGAUAUCACUAGGAAUACCUAAAGCGAAGGCGAUCUCCUGGAACAUUACUGACGCUAAGGCGUGAAAGCGUGGGGAGCAAACAGGAUUAGAUACCCCCGUAGUC
rnacentral:rRNA from 1 species